GAUGAACGCUGGCGGCGUGCCUAAUACAUGCAAGUCGAGCGAACGGACGAGAAGCUUGCCUCUCUGAUGUUAGCGGCGGACGGGUGAGUAACACGUGGAUAACCUACCUAUAAGACUGGGAUAACUUCGGGAAACCGGAGCUAAUACCGGAUAAUAUUUUGAACCGCAUGGUUCAAAAGUGAAAGACGGUCUUGCUGUCACUUAUAGAUGGAUCCGCGCUGCAUUAGCUAGUUGGUAAGGUAACGGCUUACCAAGGCAACGAUGCAUAGCCGACCUGAGAGGGUGAUCGGCCACACUGGAACUGAGACACGGUCCAGACUCCUACGGGAGGCAGCAGUAGGGAAUCUUCCGCAAUGGGCGAAAGCCUGACGGAGCAACGCCGCGUGAGUGAUGAAGGUCUUCGGAUCGUAAAACUCUGUUAUUAGGGAAGAACAUAUGUGUAAGUAACUGUGCACAUCUUGGCGGUACCUAAUCAGAAAGCCACGGCUAACUACGUG
rnacentral:rRNA from 1 species